rnacentral:rRNA from 1 species
GUAAAGCGCGCGCAGGCGGCCUUUUAAGUUGGAUGUGAAAGCCUACAGCUCAACUGUAGAACUGCAUCCAAAACUAUUGGGCUAGAGUGUGGGAGAGGAAGAUGGAAUUAGUUGUGUAGGGGUAAAAUCCGUAGAGAUAACUAGGAAUACCAAAAGCGAAGGCAAUCUUCUGGAACACUACUGACGCUGAGGCGCGAAGGCGUGGGGAGCAAACAGGAUUAGAUACCCUGGUAGUCCACGCAGUAAACGAUGAAUGUUAGUCGUCGGGUAGCUAGUCUAUUCGGUGAUGCAGCUAACGCAUUAAACAUUCCGCCUGGGGAGUACGGUCGCAAGAUUAAAACUCAAAGGAAUAGACGGGGACCCGCACAAGUGGUGGAGCAUGUGGUUUAAUUCGAAGAUACGCGAAGAACCUUACCUAGCCUUGACAUAUAUUAGAACAGACCAGAGAUGGACUGGUGCCUUCGGGAGCUUUUAUACAGGUGCUGCACGGCUGUCGUCAGCUCGUGUCGUGAGAUGUUGGGUUAAGUCCCGCAACGAGCGCAACCCUCGUCACUAGUUACUAACGGUUCGGCCGAGGACUCUAGUGAGACUGCCUUCGCAAGGAGGAGGAAGGUGAGGACGACGUCAAGUCAUCAUGGCCCUUACGGCUAGGGCAACACACGUGCUACAAUGGCCAGGACAAUGAGACGCGAUACCGCGAGGUGGAGCAAAUCUAUAAACCUGGUCUCAGUUCGGAUUGUAGUCUGCAACUCGACUACAUGAAGCUGGAAUCACUAGUAAUCGUAGAUCAGCUAUGCUACGGUGAAUACGUU